rnacentral:rRNA from 1 species
GCCUGCCCAGUGACAUGUUAAACGGCCACGGUAUCCCGACCGUGCGAAGGUAGCGUAAUCACUUGUCUUUUAAAUAAAGACUAGUAUGAAUGGCCAAACGAGGCUCAACCUGUCUCUUACGAGUAAUCAGUGAAAUUGAUCUUCCUGUGCAAAAGCAGGAAUAACAAUAUAAGACGAGAAGACCCUGUGGAACUUCAAAUAAACAUCAACUAACAACAACACUUACCUACGGGCUAACAACCUAUACACACUGAUUAAUACUUUGGGUUGGGGCAACCUCGGAGAACAAUAAAACCUCCGAAAACAGAACAUAGUUCCUUACUUAGAUCUACUAUUCAAAGUGCCCACGGUAAAGAGAUCCAAUACAAUUGAUCAACGAACCAAGCUACCCCAGGGAUAACAGCGCAAUCCUAUCUUAGAGCCCUUAUCAAUGAUGGGGUUUACGACCUCGAUGUUGGAUCAGGACAUCCUAAUGGCGCAGCCGCUAUUAAGGG